GGUUCAAUGUCACAUCGUCGAUAGCUCAUUGAUGGUGACUUGUGCUGCUAUGAUUGAACCAAAAAAAAUUUCACAUCUUGAUAGAAACAUGUUCAUCUUUUUUCUAUAGAUUUACAGAGCUAUUUUGUGUGAUUACAUAU